GACGUAGGGGGCCAGCGUUGUUCGGAAUUACUGGGUGUAAAGGGUUCGUAGGCGGUGCGGCAAGUUGGGAGUGAAAUCUCUGGGCUCAACCCAGAGGCUGCUUCCAAAACUGCUGUGCUUGAGUGUGAGAGAGGCUCGUGGAAUUCCUGGUGUAGCGGUGAAAUGCGCAGAUAUCAGGAGGAACACCAACGGCGAAGGCAGCUCGCUGGGACGGUACUGACGCUGAGACGCGAAAGCGUGGGGAGCAAACAGG
rnacentral:rRNA from 1 species